ensembl:lncRNA
AGAAGCCGGGCUGAGGAUCUGCUUGGACGGUGGAGGGCAUGUCCCCGCAGAGCACAGUAGGAGCUGUUGGGGGAUCCUUGGAAAGGAUGGAAGGCGCGGAGGUGGUCAAGGGAGGGUCCGGCGCUGCCUGCUCCCAGGGGCCGGUAGAGAUGAGAAAGGGAAGCCGGAGGGGUCCCCGCAUCCCUGGAGAGGGGUGAGGCUCCCACAGCCCCUGGUUUCAUGGAGAAGGUGGCUUGUGAACCUAGAGGAUGGGAAGAUCCGAUCCUGAGAAGAUAGAGUAGAGAAGGUCAUUUCAGGCAGAGAGGAAGUCUUGAGCUAAUGUAAGAG